GGGUUAGUAAAGGUUUCGACAGGGAUUUUGAAGCUGGAGAAGCUAUCCGCAGGAUGGUGCGUCAAACCUCAAAUUAAAAUUAAACGCUAACGAUAAUUUAGCAAUCGCUGCCUAAGUGCAGCCCGUCAGCCUAAGUGCACCUACACAUUUAGUAACUGGCGUCAAAAUUUGUAGGAAACGACAUAGCUGAGGCUUCGCAGUUAUGGACGUAUUAUGAAGCUACCGAUUAAUUACAGUUGCCUAUUACCGUGGUUGAAAGGGAACGGGAAUGCAGAAUUCCGAAAUAACAGGCUAUGAUAGUAGAAGGACAGGGGAUGAAUUUUUGGACAGGGGUUCGACUCCCCUCUAAUCCAUUU
rnacentral:tmRNA from 1 species